UGGGGAAUAUUGGACAAUGGGCGAAAGCCUGAUCCAGCAACGCCGCGUGAGGGAUGACGGCCUUCGGGUUGUAAACCUCUUUCAGCGGGGACGAAGCGAAAGUGACGGUACCCGCAGAAGAAGGACCGGCCAACUACGUGCCAGCAGCCGCGGUAAUACGUAGGGUCCGAGCGUUGUCCGGAAUUAUUGGGCGUAAAGGGCUCGUAGGCGGUUUGUCGCGUCGGGAGUGAAAACUCAGGGCUCAACCCUGAGCGUGCUUCCGAUACGGGCAGACUAGAGGGAUGCAGGGGAGAACGGAAUUCCUGGUGUAGCGGUGGAAUGCGCAGAUAUCAGGAGGAACACCGGUGGCGAAGGCGGUUCUCUGGGCAUUACCUGACGCUGAGGAGCGAAAGCAUGGGGAGCGAACAGG
rnacentral:rRNA from 1 species